AUUGAACGCUGGCGGCAGGCCUAACACAUGCAAGUCGAGCGUGAGUCGGAAGGAUGAGUAAUGUCUGGGAAACUGCCUGAUGGAGGGGGCUAACUACUGGAAACGGUAGUUAAUACCGUAUACCAUCCGUUGUGCCCAGAUGGGAUUAGCUAGUAGGUGGGGUAACGGCUCACCUAGGCGACGAUCCCUAGCUGGUCUGAGAGGAUGACCAGCCACAAUGGAACUGAGACACGGUCCAGACUCCUACGGGAGGCAGCAGUGGGAAAGAUUGCACAAUGGGCGCAAGCCGGAUGCAGCCAUGCCGCGUGUGUGAAGAAGGCCUUCGGGUUGUAAAGCACUUUCAGCGGGGAGGCGUUACCCGCAGAAGAAGCACCGGCUAACUCCGUGCCAGCCGCCGCGGUAAUUC
rnacentral:rRNA from 1 species